CCACUCACCAUGGUGGCUACGGGUUAAGAGGCGAAGGCGACAGGAGCAGACACCGGGUCCCGGUUACCGUCCCCGACAAGCUAAGAGUCGAGAAUGUGAAAGCACCAUCUCAUGACAAUAAAGCAACCUUAAGACAUAUGCUAAGGAUGAAGGAAGAUAGAAUCUAGGUCCCUGAUGACAUUGUGGAGCUGCUGCACAAGCCAUGGAUUGUGGACCUCUGGACUUCUCAUUAUGGAAAAAUAAAGCAAUUUGUUAAGCCA